GACGAACGCUGGCGGCGUGCUUAACACAUGCAAGUCGAGCGGUAAGGCCCUUUCGGGGGUACACGAGCGGCGAACGGGUGAGUAACACGUGGGUGACCUGCCCUCAGCUCUGGGAUAAGCCUGGGAAACCGGGUCUAAUACCGGAUAUGACUCCAUGACGCAUGUUGUGGGGGUGGAAAGCCUUGUGCGGCUGAGGNUGGGCCCGCGGCCUAUCAGCUUGUUGGUGGGGGUGAUGGCCUACCAAGGCGACGACGGGUAGCCGGCCUGAGAGGGCGACCGGCCACAC
rnacentral:rRNA from 1 species